rnacentral:rRNA from 1 species
UGGGGAAUAUUGCGCAAUGGGGGAAACCCUGACGCAGCAACGCCGCGUGAAUGAAGAAGGCCUUAGGGUUGUAAAGUUCUGUUUUCUGGGACGAUAAUGACGGUACCAGAGGAGGAAGCCACGGCUAACUACGUGCCAGCAGCCGCGGUAAUACGUAGGUGGCAAGCGUUGUCCGGAUUUACUGGGCGUAAAGGAUGCGUAGGCGGAUGUUUAAGUGAGAUGUGAAAUACCCGAGCUCAACUUGGGUGCUGCAUUUCAAACUGGAUAUCUAGAGUGCAGGAGAGGAAAGCGGAAUUCCUAGUGUAGCGGUGAAAUGCGUAGAGAUUAGGAAGAACACCAGUGGCGAAGGCGGCUUUCUGGACUGUAACUGACGCUGAGGCAUGAAAGCGUGGGGAGCAAACAGGAUUAGAUACCCCCGUAGUCC